AUCUAGCCCUGAUGGAAGGUAAAAUCCUUUUAUUUUCCUUUAAAAAAUAAAAGAUUGGAAGGACAGCGGGACUAAAA
rnacentral:sRNA from 1 species